AACGCUGGCGGCGUGCCUAACACAUGCAAGUCAACUUGACUGAAGGAGCAAUCUGACAGUAGAGUGGCGCAAGGGUGCGUAACGCGUAAGUAACUUGCCCCAAGGUAAGGAAUAACGUCGAGAAAUCGGCGCUAAUACCUCAUAAUGCAGCGGAUCCGCAUGGAUAUGUUGUUAAAGGUUUACCGCCUUGGGAUAGGCUUGCGUCUGAUUAGCUAGUUGGUGUGGUAACGGCACACCAAGGCUACGAUCAGUAACUGGUCUGAGAGGAUGAUCAGUCACACUGGAACCGAGACACGGUCCAGACUCCUACGGGAGGCAGCAGUGAGGAAUAUUGGGCAAUGCUCGAAAGAGUGACCCAGCAACGCCGCGUGGAGGAUGAAGGUAUUCUAUAUCGUAAACUCCUGUGAGAGCAGACGAAAGACAGAUUAUUAAUCUGGAUGACUGUAUGCUCAGAGGAAGCCCCGGCUAACUACGUG
rnacentral:rRNA from 1 species